UACGUAGGGUGCAAGCGUUAUCCGGAAUUAUUGGGCGUAAAGAGCUCGUAGGCGGUUUGUCGCGUCUGCUGUGAAAACCCGAGGCUCAACCUCGGGCCUGCAGUGGGUACGGGCAGACUAGAGUGCGGUAGGGGAGAUUGGAAUUCCUGGUGUAGCGGUGGAAUGCGCAGAUAUCAGGAGGAACACCAGUGGCGAAGGCGCCGCUCUGGGCCGUGACUGACGCUGAGGAGCGAAAGCGUGGGUAGCAAACAGG
rnacentral:rRNA from 1 species